rnacentral:rRNA from 1 species
AGCUCAGUAACACGUGGAUAACCUGCCCUUAGGUUUGGCAUAACUCCGGGAAACUGGAGAUAAUUCCGAAUAGGUCAAAUAUGCUGGAAUGCUUUUUGGCCAAAAGACCUCGGUUGCCUAAGGAUGGAUCUGCGGUCUAUCAGGUAGUAGUGGGUGUAACGUACCUACUAGCCUACGACGGAUAUGGGUUGUGAGAGCAAGAGCCCAGAGAUGGAUUCUGAGACAUGAAUCCAGGCCCUACGGGGCGCAGCAGGCGCGAAAACUUUACAAUGCGGGAAACCGCGAUAAGGGGACACCGAGUGCCAGCAUUUAUGUUGGCUGUCCACAUGUGUAAACGGCAUGUGUUAGCAAGGGCCGGGCAGACCGGUGCCAGCCGCCGCGGUAACACCGGCGGCCCGAGUGGUAAUCACUUUUAUUGGGUCUAAAGGGUCCGUAGCCGGUUUGAUCAGUUCUUCGGGAAAUCUGACAGCUCAACUGUUAGGCUUCCGGGGAAUACUGUCAGACUUGGGACCGGGAGAGGUAAGAGGUACUACAGGGGUAGGAGUGAAAUCUUGUAAUCCCUGUGGGACC